CUACAUGUAUAUGUUUGGAAUAUUUGGAUGUCAAACAUGAGAAUGUGACUUUUGAUAAACAUGUUGAUAAAUAUUGUAUUUAAAGUAUUUUACAUCUAACCUGCACUGAUGAACUUGUGUUUAAAGUAAUUUGUAGCAAGAAUUUGUAACAUCAUAUGUAUGUUCUUGCAUCACACUCGGCUCGAGUAAGUAUUUCAUCAAAUAAAUCCUGAGCAUGUUCACUAACAGAUACAUUUAUUGGGUUUCAAGGACGUCACUUCCUAUUUAUUUAAUAUGUAUAUAAUAUUAAUUUUCACCAGAUCGCUUUUCCUAUGUAGGGCCUUCUUAUCUACUACAAACUAGUAUAUUUUUUUUGUAUCCUCAGUUAUACUACAAAUUUAUCUCUAUGGAGUAUAUCUUAUAAAAAAAGUUUAAAUAGUUUGUUCCAUCUGUAGGUUAAAAAGAAAAAAGCAAACAUUGAUAUUGAUUAGAGUUAAGGUGGUUUCACUAAAGAGCUUACUUAAGCACGCAUAUCUUUUUCAUUUUCAUUAUUAUUGUUAUCCUUUAGUAGUAACUUUACAAUUUUCAAAAAAAUAUUAUGAAGUGAAGUUCAAUAAUAAUAAUAAAAGGGGAGAAAUUAUGUGUGCUAAAUGAAUGUGUAAGCACUUCAGUGAACUUAAAACUUUGAACUAAGAAAUAAAACGCGACCCUUUGCUGGAGGAAAUAAUAUGGUCAGUAUUUUUAUAUUUUUUUGUAAGAUGUCGCUUUUCCUAUAAAGUCAUUCAUAUACGGAGUGGAACGAUUAAAUCUGCCGCACCUAUAUAGCACAACGAUAGCUAUAUAUUUUGUACUUUGCACUGAUUUUUCUGUUGGAAAAAGGACAAUAUUUUCAAUGAGAGAAAUCAAAGAUGAGACGCUAUUCAACUUAGGCUUACUGAUAAUACAACUCUUAACAAAAAGAAGAUUUCUUUCAUACUGAAAAUGCCUAAACGAACGGGUACAAGCACCAAAGUUGACCUUAUGGAGUGUGACUACCCCCUGAAGGCCGUUAAGGGAAGGUGCACGACCCCGAGGGCCGCAGGAAGUUCAGAAACAAGGAGUUCAACAGCAAGCUCCAUCAUCCAGUGUGUUAAGAAUGACUUGAAGUCCCGGUCCUAUAAGUAUCAAAAUGUCCAGAUGCUCACUAAAAAGACCAAGGGCCUCAGGUUAGUGAAAUAUGUAAUAUUGCUGAAUAAGCUCAAGCUUCCCAAAAAGUCCAAUGCAUUCUAGGAGCGACUGAAAGAGAAUGCGUUUGACUUCGUACCAUUCACACAGUGGCCCCCUCCUCACCAUAUUUUAACCCCCUUGACUACUAGUUGUGUUCCUAUGUCCAUAUAACAACAUUAUGACCUCCCAUAACACCAAAGACAUCCUAUUUCUAUCUAUCCGCCGUAUAUUCACAUCUCUCCGGCCGGUGCAAACUCAAAUGGUGUGCUCUCGUUUCUGCACCCGUAUUGAGGUGGUUUGGAGGUGGAUGGCGGUUUCAUUGAAUAAAUGUUUUCCCUAUAACCUAAUAAACAUGUUUGUUUCUUGAAUUUAAUUAAUAAUAUAAAAUAAAGCAG
rnacentral:lncRNA from 1 species